rnacentral:rRNA from 1 species
AGGAGCUUGCUCCUUUGACGUUAGCGGCGGACGGGUGAGUAACACGUGGAUAACCUACCUAUAAGACUGGGAUAACUUCGGGAAACCGGAGCUAAUACCGGAUAACAUAUUGAACCGCAUGGUUCAAUAGUGAAAGGCGGCUUUGCUGUCACUUAUAGAUGGAUCCGCGCCGUAUUAGCUAGUUGGUAAGGUAACGGCUUACCAAGGCAACGAUACGUAGCCGACCUGAGAGGGUGAUCGGCCACACUGGAACUGAGACACGGUCCAGACUCCUACGGGAGGCAGCAGUAGGGAAUCUUCCGCAAUGGGCGAAAGCCUGACGGAGCAACGCCGCGUGAGUGAUGAAGGUCUUCGGAUCGUAAAACUCUGUUAUCAGGGAAGAACAAAUGUGUAAGUAACUGUGCACAUCUUGACGGUACCUGAUCAGAAAGCCACGGCUAACUACGUGCCAGCAGCCGCGGUAAUACGUAGGUGGCAAGCGUUAUCCGGAAUUAUUGGGCGUAAAGCGCGCGUAGGCGGUUUUUUAAGUCUGAUGUGAAAGCCCACGGCUCAACCGUGGAGGGUCAUUGGAAACUGGAAAACUUGAGUGCAGAAGAGGAAAGUGGAAUUCCAUGGGUAAGCGGUGA